GUGACGUGGCCGGAGCAGCCCUGUCUGUGCCUAAACUGAAGCUCGGCCACGCUAGAUCUGGAUUGGUGGUAGGCGGGGCGGGCCCCGGUCGCUGGCCGGAAGCGGAAGUGGAGGAAAGAUGCAGGACCAUCAGCACGUGCCCAUCGACAUCCAGACCAGCAAGCUGCUCGACUGGCUGGUGGACAGAAGGCACUGCAACCUGAAAUGGCAGAGUCAGGUGUUGACCAUCCGAGAGAAGAUCAACGCUGCCAUCCAGGACAUGCCAGAGAGCGAAGAGAUCGCCCAGCUGCUCUCUGGAUCCUACAUUCACUACUUCCACUGCCUAAGGAUUGUGGAGCUUCUCAAAGGCACCGAAGCCUCCACCAAAAAUAUUUUUGGCCGGUACUCUUCACAGCGGAUGAAGGAUUGGCAGGAGAUCGUAGCCUUGUAUGAGAAGGACAACACCUACCUAGUGGAACUCUCCAGCCUCCUGGUUCGGAACGUCAACUACGAGAUCCCCUCACUGAAGAAACAGAUCGCCAAGUGCCAGCAGCUGCAGCAAGAAUACAGCCGCAAGGAAGAGGAGGGCCAGGCGGGGGCCGCCGAGAUGCGGGAGCAGUUCUACCACUCGUGCAAGCAGUAUGGCAUCACGGGGGACAACGUCCGAAGAGAACUCCUGGCCCUGGUGAAGGACCUGCCGAGCCAGCUGGCCGAGAUUGGGGCGGCAGCCCAGUCCCUGGGGGAAGCCAUCGACCUGUACCAGGCCUGCGUGGGGUUUGUGUGUGAAAGCCCCGAGGAGCAGGUGCUGCCCAUGCUGCGGUUUGUGCAGACACGGGGGAACGGCACCGUGUACGAGUGGAGGACGGGCACCGAGCCCUCGGUGGUGGAGCGGCCAUACCUCGAGGAGCCCCCGGAGCAGGUGGAAGAAGACGCGAUUGACUGGGGCGACUUUGGGGUGGAGGUGGCCUCUGAAGGGCCCGACUCUGGCAUCUCUGCCCAGGCGGCUGAAAUUGACUGGGGCAUCUCCCUGGAGUCAGACUCAAAGGAAGCUGGGGGUGAUGAGAUAGACUGGGGAGACGACGCCACUGCUCUGCAGAUCACAGUACUGGAAGCCGGAACCCAGGCUCCAGAAGGUGUUGCUAGGGGCUCAGAUGCUCUGACCCUUCUUGAAUACCCUGAGACCCGGAAUCAGUUCAUUGAUGAGCUCAUGGAGCUCGAGAGCUUCCUGUCGCAGAGAGCCGUGGAGAUGAGCGAGGAGGCCGACAUCCUGUCCGUGAGCCAGUUCCAGCUGGCUCCAGCCAUCCUGCAGGGCCAGACCAAAGCGAAGACAGUGAGCAUGGUGUCGGCUCUGCAGGAUCUGAUCGGCCGCCUCACCAACCUUCGAAUGCAACACCUGUUUAUGAUCCUGGCUUCACCAAGGUCUGCCUUUCCCCUUGAUGUUGGGCUCUCCGAGGGCAUGCUGCAGAGUGCUGCCUUCUUGGCAGCCCUGACUCCUUGCUUCCUCCUCUCCAUGAACCCACAGACCUCACCCUUGCCUCCCGCAACUGCACCCUCCCAGCUGGGAAGGGGGUUCUCCUGGGGCACGAUGGCAGCAGCGGGGGGGUCUGAUGUGCACGGUCAGGGUCUGCUUCCCAGAGGAGACAGGGACGCGGGAGUGCUGUUCCUUCCAGGAAAGGACUGAAGGAGGCUGGAGGCUGGAGGCUGAGAAGCCAAGGAGAGACUUGGUCUCCCAAGCCUCCCCUUUUGCAGCAGUUGGCCGGGGCUGCUCAGCUUGCAUAGCCACACCACUUACCGAGCGCCCUGCCCAGGUACGUGGACCGAGUGACGGAGCUCCUCCAGCAGAAGCUAAAGCAGUCCCAGCUGCUGGCCUUGAAAAAAGAACUGAUGGUGCAGAAGCAGCAGGAAGCGCUUCAGGAGCAGGCGGCUCUGGAGCCCAAGCUGGACCUGCUGCUGGAGAAGACGAAGGAGCUGCAGAAGCUGAUCGAAGCUGACAUUUCCAAGAGGUACAACGGGCGCCCUGUGAACCUGAUGGGAACCUCUCUGUGACACGCUCCCCAUUCUUCCUGCCUGUCUUCUCAGCCUUCAGGACAGAGGGGGGACAGCCAGGGGCCCCUCCUGGCAAGGGCUCAGACCCCAGGAUGGAACCAUCACCGGAUGGUGUCCUGGGCGCUCUGUACUCUGCAAGAAGCUGUCUUGAGUGGUCCUGUGGCCCAUCAGCCUGAAACCACAGCUUCUGCUCCUUCUCAUUCUCUAGUUGCACUUAAUAAAAGAGGAAGGGACUCCUGCUUCA